rnacentral:rRNA from 1 species
GACGAACGCUGGCGGCGUGCUUAACACAUGCAAGUCGAACGGAAAGGCCCCUUCGGGGGUACUCGAGUGGCGAACGGGUGAGUAACACGUGAGUAACCUGCCCUUGACUUCGGGAUAACUUCAGGAAACUGGGGCUAAUACCGGAUAGGAAUCCUUGCUGCAUGGUGGGGGUUGGAAAGCUUCGGCGGUUUUGGAUGGACUCGCGGCUUAUCAGCUUGUUGGUGGGGUAGUGGCUUACCAAGGCUUUGACGGGUAGCCGGCCUGGGGGGGCGACCGGCCACAUUGGGACUGAGAUACGGCCCAGACUCCUACGGGAGGCAGCAGUGGGGAAUAUUGCACAAGGGGCGGAAGCCUGAUGCAGCAACGCCGCGUGCGGGAUGACGGCCUUCGGGUUGGAAACCGCUUUCAGCAGGGGCGAAGCUUGUGGUGACGGUACCUGCAGAAGAAGCACCGGCUAACUACGUG